AACGAAGGCUGGCGGCAUGCCUAACACAUGCAAGUCGAACGAGACCUUCGGGUCUAGUGGCGCACGGGUGCGUAACGCGUGGGAACCUGCCCUUAGGUUCGGAAUAACUCCCCGAAAGGGGUGCUAAUACCGGAUAAUGUCUUCGGACCAAAGAUUUAUCGCCUUUGGAUGGGCCCGCGUUGAUUAGCUAGUUGGUAGGGUAAAAGCCUACCAAGGCGACGAUCCAUAGCUGGUCUGAGAGGAUGAUCAGCCACACUGGGACUGAGACACGGCCCAGACUCCUACGGGAGGCAGCAGUGGGGAAUAUUGGACAAUGGGCGAAAGCCUGAUCCAGCAAUGCCGCGUGAGUGAUGAAGGCCUUAGGGUUGUAAAGCUCUUUUACCCGGGAUGAUAAUGACAGUACCGGGAGAAUAAGCUCCGGCUAACUCCGUG
rnacentral:rRNA from 1 species